rnacentral:rRNA from 1 species
AACGAACGCUGGCGGCAUGCCUAACACAUGCAAGUCGAACGAGACCUUCGGGUCUAGUGGCGCACGGGUGCGUAACGCGUGGGAACCUGCCCUUAGGUUCGGAAUAACUCCCCGAAAGGGGUGCUAAUACCGGAUAAUGUCUUCGGACCAAAGAUUUAUCGCCUUUGGAUGGGCCCGCGUUGGAUUAGCUAGUUGGUAGGGUAAAAGCCUACCAAGGCGACGAUCCAUAGCUGGUCUGAGAGGAUGAUCAGCCACACUGGGACUGAGACACGGCCCAGACUCCUACGGGAGGCAGCAGUGGGGAAUAUUGGACAAUGGGCGAAAGCCUGAUCCAGCAAUGCCGCGUGAGUGAUGAAGGCCUUAGGGUUGUAAAGCUCUUUUACCCGGGAUGAUAAGGACAGUACCGGGAGAAUAAGCUCCGGCAAACUCCGU